rfam:Oryza meridionalis cultivar OR44 (W2112) chromosome 4, whole genome shotgun sequence.
UUUAAGUGACUUAAAUUUUCGUGUCUAACGUUUUUUUGACCGUCCGUCUUAUUUAAAAUUUGUUAUAAUUAUUAUUAUUUAAAAAAAAAUAAAACAUAAAUAAUAUUGUAUGCUUGACUUUUUAAAAAAAAUUAUAAAUUUUUUAAAUAAUACGGACAGUCAAACGUUGGAUAUAGAAAUCCACAACUCCACUUAAA